AGUGGUGUAGCUUAGUGGUAAAGCACUUGCCUAGCAUGUAUAAGGCCCUGGGUUCAAUCCCUAGCACUGCCC
rfam:Neotoma lepida isolate 417 scaffold_33821, whole genome shotgun sequence.